AACGAAUCUACUGCUGCUCAAUAUAGUGGCGCUGCGUGCGACAGCAUCAUUUCCCCUAAAAGGGACAUUCAUGACAGACCCCGGCCAGGAAGACCACGCGCGACGUCACAGGCUGAUGACCGUCAAAUUCGAAUACGUCAUCUGCACGAUCGGUUUACGACGGCAAUGUCAACGAGAAAUGGACUAUUUAGAGGUCGGAUAUCUGCCCCAAAAAAUAGAAAUCGGCUGCGUGCUGCUCAUCUUCAACCACGGCGGCCUCACACAAUGUUUCAACGUCAACGACGUUUUCUUUGGACACAGAGACAUAAUGGGUUGGACCCAGAGACCGUGAAAAUGCAGGAAUCAACUUCAUGAAGUGGCCUUCAAGAUCCUCUGACGGCAAUCUCGGGAGACGUGUUAGGAAUAAUAUAAUAAACCAACCUCAGACUUUUCAGGAACUAGGAGACAUGUUGGUGAAACAAUGGCGCAGAUUGCAUUGUUCACGAGGAGGCGUUGUUUUGUAGUUGUCGGUGCCAGAGGUGGCCACACACGUUACUAAACAUAAAGACAUAACAAAAA